AGAGGAUGUAGCAUGUAAGGCACUAUCUUGGAAGAAAAGAAUGGCCUCACCAGACCCAAACCUGCCAGAGCCUUGAUCUUAGACUUCCCAGUCUCCAGAACUGUCCUGGGUUGGGGUGACAGGAGAAAUACGGAGAAGGAACAGCAACAGUUCAGAGAAUAUUGGCUUCACGAGGACACCUUCUUGAUCUCUAUGUCCUUUAUACAGUCACCACCAUUUAACAUGAUGCCUGACCCAUGGAAGCCUGAAGAGGAGCAGAAAGUAGAAAUAUCUGUAUAUACCAAGAAAAGCAGAUUUUAAACAUCUUCAGUAAUAGAGAAACACCAAUAAUGGCACGUGACUGUGUUCUCCCCUCACUCCUUCUGUCUCCUGACCGCAGUGCCUCCCUGUGUGGCACUACAUGGCAUGACCUCCCUAUCCUCUCGAGAAUUACAAAUAACAAACUGUCUUUUCAAUAGUCUGAAUAAUAACCAAACCUACAUUUUAAAACACUAGAGAUGACUAAAAUGAGAAAAGAGAGAAGUGGCUAGCAAGGACGUCAAAAAAGGCAUAAUUCUGAAUGAAGACAUUCAACUAAACGCAGAUACCACAGCUUUUCAGGAAUUUUGGGAAAGUCAUUUUUUAAUAAAGGAUUUGUCUAUUGAGCAGUGCAAGUAAGGUUGAACUGAAUGUUGCAAGGAAUAUACCAAAUCCUGACUUGAUCCCUAAAGUUCUAGGAAACACCAAGGGAUUGUAAGAAGAAGUUACCAGAU
rnacentral:lncRNA from 1 species